AUUUUUUUAUCAUAAUAUAAAACUAUAUGUUAUUUGAAAACCAAAUCAGUUACCUAUAAAAACAAAAGACAGCCAAUUGGUCGGGCAAUUGCGGAAUCACUGAUAAGGACGUGAUAUACGUAAGCCUUUUACUUUUGCGGCCAACAGAGAGGGGGAAGAGAUUGUCAUUUAAUGCAUGUUUGAGAUUCUUCGACACAAAUACACGGCUGACGUAUUAAUUCCAUUCAGAGUGCAUAAAAACGUUCAAUAUACGUGUUUUGCAGUUCAUUUAUUAAAACCACAACUUACAUUAUUUUAUUAUUUUAAUAUGAUAAUAUUAUAUGAAAUUUGUCAAAUAAAUGUUUUUCAAAUAUUUUCAAAAGUAUAAACGUCGUGGAAUGUGAGUGUUGGAUUUUUUUCUAUUAAAGACUGAAAUUAUUGAGAUAUUAGGAGUAAGCAUCGUGUGAAAAAUAUUCUAUUCGUAUAUGGUAAUGAUUUCUAUCGUGGAGCACGAGAAGAGGUGCAAUAAUCCCGUGUCCGAUCUUUAAGCGACGGUCAAGAAAUCGGCAGCAUCGUCCACACAUAACCAGGAUUGCCGGUAAGUGUCCGAGUCCUGUGCGCUGGCCUAAACGUAGACAGGUGCUACAGUUUAAGAUCGAUGCGUACUUACAAUCACCGACGUUCGAGGAGAUUCCCCCCCUCGGAUACCGUGACUUUGACAGGGUUGGUACUUCAGUGAAAUUGCGGUUUCGAAGACACCUGAGCCCGCUGAUAAGGAUGUGGAGGAGACGUCAUCUAUUUGCUAGGAAGUCGAUGUGAUGGUGUGUCAUUCGUAUCCGUUGUCGAACAACCGUAUCAAAACCAACACCGGUUCCUGUCACCAAACUGGUGUAGUUUUGGGGUUGCAAGUGUAAAGAACUUUCAACGGUAAAACAUUUUAAGGUGUUUCAAAACUAUUGUUUUGCAAUACCAACAAAUAUUCUAGUUUAUAAGUUUUAAAAAAGGGUUUUACUUCUUUUUCAUCGUAUUUAUAUUACUUUGGUCUAUUGAUAUUCAUCCGCACUAGUAUAAAAAAUUAGUUAGGUAAAGUUAGGUAAGUAAUGAUAAUAUGUAGGCACACCUGUUGUAUAUUAUAUUUUUAUAUUCAGUGUAGAAUUGGUUUUUGCUUUUAAUUCAACCAUUGUAUUAUUUUUUUGAAACAUUUAUUAAAAUAUUUGGUGAUCCAUUUACACA